AACGAACGCUGGCGGCAGGCCUAACACAUGCAAGUCGAACGCGUCCUUCGGGACGAGUGGCAGACGGGUGAGUAACGCGUGGGAACGUACCCUUUGGUUCGGAACAACAGCGGGAAACUGCUGCUAAUACCGGAUCAGCCCUUCGGGGGAACGAUUUAUCGCCAGAGGAUCGGCCCGCGUUAGAUUAGCGUGUUGGUGAGGUAAUGGCUCACCAAGGCUACGAUCUAUAGCUGGUCUGAGAGGAUGAUCAGCCACACUGGGACUGAGACACGGCCCAGACUCUUACGGGAGGCAGCAGUGGGGAAUCUUGGACAAUGGGCGAAAGCCUGAUCCAGCCAUGCCGCGUGAAUGAUGAAGGCCCUAGGGUUGUAAAAUUCUUUCGACGGGGAAGAUAAUGACGGUACCCGUAGAAGAAGCUCCGGCUAACUUCGUGCCAGCCGCCGCCGUAAUAC
rnacentral:rRNA from 1 species